GUGGAAUCAUCACUGAAAAAAAGAAAUUUUGUGCUUGCUGCAGAUGGAAAUCAAGCCGUUCUGGACAUACACAUGGGCAGAAGAUGUAGCCGCCUUGUGUGAAAAUUUGAGAGCUCUCUACUCCAUCUUCCGCUAGUAUAACCCUCAUUGGCUGGAAUCAUAAUGGUAUCUGCAUCUGGAACUGGCCACUAGUAUAACACCUACAAAAUGCACAACGGCCUUCAGACCAUAUGAAAAGUCUACAGGGUGAGAAUCUGAAAAUCCAGCAAUGAGGAGAAAAAAGUUAUCUCCCAUUAAGAACACUUUCCAGAAGCUACACAAUUCCAGUUAUUGAUUCAUCCCAUUUACUAGAACCUGUUCAUCUGGCUAUGCCCAAAACCAAGGGAAACUGAAAUAGUGGUUACCAUAUUCUGUAACUCAGCCUAGCCUAGCUUCAGAAGUUUUAAUAAAGAAAA
rnacentral:lncRNA from 1 species